CACCUAGGGACAUCUUACAGUAUUGACCCUGAAAACCUCCGGGAAACCUUCACUUACUGGAAGGAGAGAAUGGCCCUAGCUUCAAGAGGGAGAGAAACGCACAAAGAACUUCUCAUGGUGUUAUGCCUGCUUCUGGCUGCUUCCGCUGACUCAUGCUGAUUCAGCAGAGCCUUGCUGUUUCUGCUGGAUCGUCCUGCAGCUUCCGAUUCAUGUUUGGUGUUUGCUAUUGACCUGCACUGCUGGUACCCUGACUACUCUACUAAGAGAGACUUCUAAACAGCCUGCAGUUCGGGCCCCACUGCGAGCCAGGCCAGGCCCCGAGGCAGCC